GACUCUCGGCAACGGAUAUCUCGGCUCUUGCAUCGAUGAAGAACGUAGCGAAAUGCGAUACUUGGUGUGAAUUGCAGAAUCCCGUGAACCAUCGAGUCUUUGAACGCAAGUUGCGCCUGAAGCCAUUAGGCUGAAGGCACGUCUGCCUGGGCGUCACG
rnacentral:rRNA from 1 species